GAUGAACGCUGGCGGCGUGCCUAAUACAUGCAAGUCGAGCGAACAGACGAGGAGCUUGCUCCUCUGACGUUAGCGGCGGACGGGUGAGUAACACGUGGAUAACCUACCUAUAAGACUGGGAUAACUUCGGGAAACCGGAGCUAAUACCGGAUAAUAUAUUGAACCGCAUGGUUCAAUAGUGAAAGACGGUUUUGCUGUCACUUAUAGAUGGAUCCGCGCCGCAUUAGCUAGUUGGUAAGGUAACGGCUUACCAAGGCAACGAUGCGUAGCCGACCUGAGAGGGUGAUCGGCCACACUGGAACUGAGACACGGUCCAGACUCCUACGGGAGGCAGCAGUAGGGAAUCUGCCGCAAUGGGCGAAAGCCUGACGGAGCAACGCCGCGUGAGUGAUGAAGGUCUUCGGAUCGUAAAACUCUGUUAUUAGGGAAGAACAAAUGUGUAAGUAACUAUGCACGUCUGGACGGUACCUAAUCAGAAAGCCACAGCUAACUACGU
rnacentral:rRNA from 1 species